rnacentral:rRNA from 1 species
UACGAGAGGCCCAAACGUUAUUCGGAUUUACUGGGCUUAAAGAGUCCGUAGGCGGCGCGGAAAGUGGGGUGUGAAAUCCCUCGGCUUAACCGAGGAAUUGCGCUCCAAACUGCCGUGCUUGAGGAACCUAGAGGUGAGCAGAACUGAUGGUGGAGCGGUGAAAUGCGUUGAUAUCAUCAGGAAUACCGGAGGCGAAGGCGGCUCACUGGGGGUUUUCUGACGCUGAGGGACGAAAGCCAGGGUAGCGAACGGG